CCUCUUUUUCUUCUGAGGAGCCUUGGGGUGCAGUGAGCCCUAGGGAAGGCUCAUGACUGCCCACCAACCCGCAGCAGGGUCAGGGGCACUGGAGGGUGUCAGCACUUGGCCCCAAGAGUGCAGGGGCAUCCUAGUGGGAGGGCUGGAAGCAGCAAUGAGAUUGUCAGGUAGGUGCUGCCCUGCAGACCUUUUGCCAUAGUCGUGUCUGUGCUGCUCAUGGUAGCUGCUGGCCACACGUGGUACUGAGUUAUUCUUAGUGACUUGAGGUUGGAAUGGCUACACAUGGUCAGUGGCUACUGUGGUCUAGACCCCCCAAAGCCCCAGAGGCUUCUAGCACUCAUGCACUCCCCCUUGUAGUCCUGAAAGUCAC
rnacentral:lncRNA from 1 species